GUGGAUUUUCCCCAGCAGCAUCCUCGGGGACAAAGGGACAGAGUGGCCGUUAAAGCUGCUGCUAUGCACAGGGAGAGAAGGGACAUCCCAUCCUUCCAGCUCUGCUCAGACUCUGCCGGGGUCUUUGGUCCUCCAACCUUCAGUGGCCUUCAUGCCAUUUCCCCCGGCUCUGUAAUCCUCUGCUGGUGAACUGACCGUCAUCGUCCCCGUGAGUGAGCACAGGCCGAUUUCAGGAUUUGCACCUCAUGGCAGCUCUAGGAGCCCAUCUGACAGGCAAAGAACGGAGGCUCAGAGCCUGACCCUGGCACCGCUGAGGACGGGGAGGGGCUGGAACCCAAAGGCAGGUCCCUCUUCUUUUUCCCAAAUUUGUGUGAAGAUGAGACUCACUGGAUGUGUUUGUUAA